GGGCCAGGUCAGCGGAUGACCCGAACUACCUUGACACGGUAGAGGUCACAGGUUCGAAUCCUGUAUCGCCCACCA
rnacentral:tRNA from 2 species